GAAUAAGUAAAAUAAAUCAUUUGUUUAAGAAUGUUUUUGGCUAUCCACGUGGCCUCCCUCAGUUGGGGUGCGGACCGGGGAGGUUUCCCUUUAUCCUUUCUCAUCUGGCCAAGUCGGGGACCAAUCAGUGACUGGUUCAUGAAGUUAGCGGGACUGCAGGUGGAGGAUUGUUCUUCCAUACACAUUUUUGGGAGGGCUCAGCGGGCGGUUCCUGAGAAGACAACAUUAUUACUAUUAUCAUCAUAAUAGUAAGGUACAAAUAAUAAUAAUAUAAUACAAAAAAUUGUCACUCUCUUAAAAUUGGGA
rnacentral:lncRNA from 1 species